rnacentral:rRNA from 1 species
AUGCCGGUUUUCACUGCAGAUCUGCUAAAGGAGAGCAACAUGGCAACACUUAAAGAUGUGGCAACACGGAAGCCUAUUCUAGCGACAAUCCGCCUCCUAGUUCCUGCUGGAGCUGCGCGCCCCGCACCGCCUGUCGGGCCAGCUCUGGGUUUCUACAGGCUCAAUCUGAUGGCCUUCUGCAAGGAUUUCAACGCCAGGACACAGAAGUACAAGGCGGAGACUCCGAUGCAAGUCACGCUGACCGCCUACAAGGACAAUGUGGGAAUCUGCUACUGA